rnacentral:lncRNA from 1 species
AAUUAACGAAAAAUCUAAGUACUUUUUAAAUGUCAUUGGUUAAAGCAUUAAAAUCUAUGAAUCCAGUGUUUGUGAAACUAGAGCUGACGUUUUGUCUUUUUGUGUUCUAUAGUACAGACAAAAAAAGGAAAGAUUCUUUAAGGAAAAGUGAGAGCUUUAUAAGUUGCUGCAUUUAUUAGAAAUCAGUUCCAAGGUAUGUGACUUACUCAUGUGUAUACUGAACACAACUUGACUGAGAACUUUUUAAAUCUCUGGUCUUGGGACGGGGAGUUCCAACACAUCAAGCACGGUCCCGAUAAUCCGGAAAUGAACACUCUGUGAGAUCAUUGCCUCAAACUAGGUAUUAUACAGUUUAUCGAAAGGAUGCACAGAGAAAAUUUCAAAAAGAAAAAUAAAAAUAAAUCUCAGCCGCAAGUGUCAGCCAAUCGAGAAACCAGGAACUGGCAAGAGCCCUGCACCACACAGGAUGAAGGGAACUUGAGCGAGGCGCGCCGGGCAGAGACGAUAACUUUGCAAAUUUCUCAAUAACCGUGGCUGAUUGAACGCUUAACGUGCACCAAGCACUCCAUGAGGCACAGUACCCGAUCAUCCAUUAAGCAUUUCCAAAGCCUUCUGUGUAACAGCUUUCCUCUUUUGACAGUGAAAACGGUGAAGUAUGAUUACUUUCAAAGGACACUCUAUGAAAGUCUGGAAACGUGCGUAGACAAAAGACUGCACCUACACAGCUGAACUGUGGUGACUGACGAGCCAACCCAGACACAAAAGGAGCCGGCAGCAUACAGCGUGUUUUAUCGCUAUUUUAGCAAAGACUGUGGCCCUCAAAAAGGGGAUUUUAGCAUUCAAAAGCCAAAUAAUCCUUGCAGCCCGCGAAAUAGGUAAGUGUAGAUCUGCUCUGAUUUAAGUGGGAGAAGAAAGCCGUAUUCUUCUUCCUUCACUUCCCAAAGCGAACUCUGAGGCAGACACUUCCAAAAACUUUUGGACUCCAUAGACGAUAUUCUGAAAAGCACGGAAGUAGACAGAAGGAUUGAUAUUGAAGACCCGACAGAUCUUUCUGGCAGUCAUUGGACCAAGUAUCUUACAAGGUUCUUGUAGACAAAAAUAGAUAAAUGUGGGUUAGACGAUAAUAUGUACAGUUAAUUGCGUAUAACAGUAGAUCUGCCCAUCCAAUGCAAAGAUUUUAGUGUUGCCCGAAGGCCUUACCUGGCCCUAUCUCAUUCAACAUUUUUCAUCAAAAACUUGGUGAAG